UGGUGACCAUAAAGGAGUAGCAACACCCGUUCCCAUACCGAACACGGAAGUUAAGGGCUCCCUUGCCGAUGAUACUACCUUGUGAUGAGGUGGGAAAGUAGGUCGUCGCCA
rnacentral:rRNA from 1 species